AAUGAGAGUCUGCCUGCUGGCUACUGAGGCCUGUGAAAAACUGGCUGAGCUAGACAGAGGUCAUGCAAACAAACAUACAAACCAGACGCCCCAGGGAAGCCUCAGCACUAGCAAUGAGUACAACAUCCAGUUGAAUGAUGAUUGUUUUUUUGGUAAGUGACUAUAUAGACGAGAGGUACAGUUACAGUAAUCUGUACCUUAGGAUUGUUAGAUAGGCAUGCACAUUCAUAAAUCCCUGAAACUGAACAAAAUGUUUCAUCUGCAUUUAAGCAAAAUUAAACUUUUAAAAAAUAAAGUGUAAAAUGUUUAUGAGUUAAGAUUCAGUUUUGAUCCUCAAAUCAAAACACAUGCCUCAGUCUGUCCUCAAACCACAUACAGGAUUUUAAGUCCUGCCCUUUUUUCCCCCGGAAGCCGAAAAAACCUCUAAAUAUGCUGACAGGCAGUCAUUUUUCUACCCUCUCUAAUUUUUCUUCCAUUUUAGUUUAAAAAAACACAGAACUUUCAUGGACAGAUAAUUCAGGUUUGCGCAAAGGGAAUGAAUACAUUUGUUACAAACAAAUAACAAACUGUUAGGUUUCUCUUCCGCUCAGCAAGGAAGCUAUUUGCCCCGACCACAAAUGCUAAUGAACUGCUUACAUGCACUGGGGUGUGUGCGUCUGUGUUUAAAAAUAGGAUCUGGGUAUAAAGCUGCAAACUUCAGGGCUGCAAAGCUGGCAGCUUGGUAUUACAUAAAAAUACCCAGCUGAUGGACAUCCAGAACCAACACUUGCUGUAAUAGCACACAGCAUUUUCGUCAAUUUUUACUCUUAUCAGCACAAGUUGUUAACCAGGAAAACGGUGGCAGAGCCAUCCUCUCUUAGACUAGAAACUCAGUCUAUCGAUGCAGACCUCUGUCUGUAGAUCCCUCUCCUAUGAGGAAAAUGAACAUGAAACAGAAGAGUUCCUAGCAGUCUGUUUUUUUCAUGGGCUCCACUUUACUAGAAACUGUUUAACAGAGAAGUUUUCUUUAGAAUAUUGCUGCUUCAGAUAUUAUAGCUAAAGGGUCAGCCCUCUUCAAGUACCCAAAGCCUAAUUCCCUUGGAUAAUCUGACAAUAAUCCCUUUUCUACAAAAGCAUUUUGGUACCAUCCCUUGGCCUGGACCAUCAACCUCCUUCUCUCUUAAUGCCACCCAUCCUUCAGGGUCCACUCCAAGAUGACCACCCCAACUAUGCUCAGCCUUCCCAGAUGAUCGGAUUCCACACCACACCAAUGAUAACACCAGUAACAGCCUCUCUUUAUUGAGGGCCUACUCUUUGACAGGUGCACUGUGCCAUCACUGCAGUUAAUCCUUAAAACUGCUAUUUUACAGAUGAAGAAAUUGAGGCUCAGAGAUGUUCAGUAGCUUGCCCAAAAUUACACAGCUUGUAAAUGACAAGGGGGCUUACAGGCCAGGAGAUCUAAUUCCAAACCCCAUGCCUUCUCUAUAACUUCACAUUGCUUCUAAUUUACUAUUUCUUUUUCCUAAAUAUGGUUUCCUCCCACAAGAGGCAUAGCUCAUGGUCCAGUCCCUGAGGAAAGGAACAGCAGCAAGGCACAGAGCUCCUGCUUGGUGCUCAUGAGUGUCUGUCCCAGGCUGAAUGGGGGAUUGGGUGAGGGUGGAGAUACCCCUGCAUUGGUACCUGGGACUUCUGGGAAUACCAGCUGCACUCCCCUGGAAUGCAAUAAAGACAUUUCUACCUUGAACACUAUUUCAGGUUUCAUUACAACACUUAGGAGAUAUGGUUGUAUGGUGUUACCCUGGCUUCUAACGUAGCCAACUCAGUGUGAUUUGAUGGACAUAACUGCUAGGUUAGGAGAGCUUAGCAGCAAGGUAGACCUUCUGUGACUAGGAAUGUUGAGUUAUAGGAGAUUCUUCUUGAGAAAUAUUCAGACUUCUGUCUUUCUUCUUUAUCCUCAUUACCUUAAGAUGGAUGACUGCUGGGAAGGACAACUGAGUACAAUUUCCCCGUUCAGGGAAUGUUCUGGAGGAAACACAACUCACUGAAAUUAAAAGAUGGCUUCUGCCACGGAAGCUCCAUGACUGAGGAUAAAAAACCCAAGCAGAGAAUAACCCAAGCUGAAACUGUCCAGGAACACGCUUUCUAUAAAGUAGCUCAUGAGUGUCAUGGUCACAGCCACAGUACAGACCUGUGUGGGUGACUCAGCAGUUCCCUGACUUGUGCAGCAAAUUCUCUAGAAGGAACUAAGUUAUAUCCCAACUUGUAGCUGUCUGAGUGACAUAAAAGGAGAAGUAAAAACACAAUUUUGAGAAAAACAGUAUGGAGUUGCCUUUGCUAACUCUGAUACAUAAAGCAGUUUCUAUUUUCUUUCCUUUCUAACUUCUCCUUCAGAGAAACAUCUUCUUUGUCUGAAUAUUUCUUUUUCUUCCUUUCUUUUUUGCAAUGGACAGAGUUUCUCUAGACUUCAAAGGGAGACAUGGGAGGGGAGAACUAGGUCUUAUCUUUCUGCCUCUUACAAUGUGCGAUUACUAGAAUCUUAUUAGCAAGAAAGAAGAAUCACUGUACAAGAGAAAACACACCUGGAAAAUAUCCACACUUUAGUUUAUGAAGACUAUGUUUGGAAACCAAAACUGCAUGUUGUAUUAUCUUAUAUUUCUAAGUAGAUGCCUGAGAGAUGGGGGUCCCUGAAGGAGGAAAAAGGGGCAAGACGAUCAUCUUGUGUCCACUUGUACUUGGUUCUCUCAACCUCUCCCCACUUCAUCCUGGACAGAUGACACCCACGGAGAAGGCCAUGCUGAUCUUCAGGAUUUUAGGCUUACAGUGCCUUCAAGAACCUUACAUCUGGACCACCAGAAAGAACCCCGAGUGCUUGUGACUGAGGAUGGAGUGGGGCAAGGUAGAAAUGUGAAGGAUGGUUUCCAACAACAUGCCCCCACCAGCCCAGGAUUCCUUCUGGUAGGCCAGAGCUGGAUGGACUGCUCACUCUUUUAUCACAAACUAGAUCUUCACUAGGAGAAAAAGUUAGAACAGGUCACUUACUCCCAGCCCAGAUCCAUGCAGCCUAAAAAUUCUGUUAAAGCAAAAAAGGAAAAUUGGAGGAUAAAAGGAAGAAAUAAAAGGAAUAAAGAGCAGGAGAGAGAGACUCAAUUUCAGAGUGAUCACACUGGAUACAGGUCAAGGUUCAAAAUACUAAAACUGUUUUUAAUGUUCCACUAAGUAGCAGCCUCUCAGUGCCUCUGACAAGUGAUUUAAGACAAGUGGUCUGCUCCCAAGGGGGCUCAUGAAUCUCCAUGCAUGACGGUUAGAUCGAGAGAGUCUGGAGUCACACAGUUGGAAAGGUGGCAAUGCAAAGGUCAGAAAUACAAGGGAGGAGUCCAUCCAUCAACCCUGACAGGCGGGCAUGCCCAGGACGGCAGAAGGGACAGGAGCCAUCUGGUAGCUUUGCUUGCAAGACCAGAUUAAGAAAGCACUAGCCCAGAAACCACAAAGGAGAAGAUGGAGCUGUAUUUCCGGAGGAAAAAGCAAAGACUUCUACCCAAAGCUGAGAAUAAUCAUCCCCUCUGCUCCACCUAUUCCCCGAGAGAAUCAAGCUCACUCAAACUGCCACCCACAGACUCAAGCCUGAAGAACAGAGCUGAAAACCUGGCACAGCACCUCUGAAAAAUUGUUCAGCCCUGACCCUGGCCAAUGGAUGUGGAAAUCUCAUCUGUGGUCAAAAUCACACUCACAGAUCAGGCCACAGAUGCAAAUCCAUUUUCUGCCAUGGUAUCCAUAGACCUCAUCUACAGCUUUCUGAUGACUGGCUUCAUUCUAAUUGAAAGGCCAACAAUAAGAUCCUGAUGGAAUUUUUCCUUAACAUUAAAAGCACAAAGGGGCACCUGGGUGGCUCAGUCAGUUAAGUGCCUAACUUUGGCUCAGGUCAUGAUCUCACGGUUCGUGGGUGCAAGCCCCAUGUGGGGCUCUCUGCUGUCAGUGCACAGCCUGCUUCAGAUCCUCUGCCCUUGCCCCUCUCUAAAAUAAGUAAACCUUUAAAAAACGCACAAAUAAAUAAAAACAUACAGCAAACACAAUGUCAGACUCUAAUUUCACAGGAUGCCAUGUCAACCCGAGGCCUAUCCCAGGACCCGUAAGUGCUUUGCCCAGCAAGGGGCUAGAGUGCUCCAAAUCACAUCUGCAUUUCCCAAGAGCAGGCCUCAGAUGCUCUCAAAAUCUGGGAAGGGAAGCCAGUCCUGCUGCACAAACGGUGGUUUGUUACGGAACAGGCCUACGCCUGUUGUCCUGUGAGCUAUUUUUGGAAAAGAGGCAAGAUGAGUAAGUUGAAUUAGAAUCUUUCAAAGCAGAAACUACUUUCCAGGACCCAGAUAUUUUCAGAAAUGUUCCAUUAACUAUUUCAAGGCACAAAAGAUCAUUUAGCAAAUGAUCUUUACUGUACUUAAAGGUUAAAAAGGUAACAAAGGCAAAGGCUCCUUUGGUGCAUGAAUUAUAAUCCUAAAGACUUAAGAAGGCCCUGUUUUCCUAAUGCCCUGGUCACAGUACAGCAGCAGGUCACAAAGACACAAGGACAGUCCUUGCCUGCUACACUGGUGGGUCAGACAUCAUCCCCACAGCAGCAAACUGGGAUCUGUUAGGAAGUAACCAUGCAGGUGGCUGAGGGAAGCUGUGUGUUGAUGGGGAACUGGUUCCACUCUUUCUCUCUUCCUUCCUUCCUUUCUUUCUCAUGUGAAUUUCCAGUUUCACUGCAGAGCCAUUUAAUGGCUUUUUCCAAACCAGUCUCAGGUUUGGAUAUCACAGAGUCUUGUUUCCACCGACUUAACAUGAACUCCAUCUCUAACAACUUGGGAGGCUGGAGAGAAGAAAGCUCUUUGGGUAUGUACCUACUUUCAUCUUGUAGACUCCCAAUGUUUUGAACUGAAAAAGACUUAGGAGAUGAUACAUUCUCUCAUUUGAAGAGUAUGUACCAACUGGAUGCCAAAUGGAAAGGGGUGCGUGGUAAUGUGUGUGCCCAAACAGAGAAGAGAAUAGGGAAAGACGUUAUGGAAUGUUUUACCCUGAUUGAUUUGGGGAGGGGUUACUUUGGGGUAUCUUUGGCAAGUAACUGCAGCAAAAGUGUCUCCAUUUUUCAGCAAAUACACAACAUGUUAUAAGUUAACAGGCAGUAUGCCAUAUUAAGAUCUGCCAUCUCCUCUUGGGCAAUAAACUGGAGAUAUUUAGUGCUAUCUUGAGAUCACCUUUUUGAGUGCCUGUGGCUCUCUUGUAAGAACUCUUGUUGAUCGGGAGGAGAUUCUGUCUUUUGGGACAGUAGUUUAUAAUUAGUGCACUGUGCCAUCGAUAUCUGAAUUUUACUUCCUAUUUGUAUUUUUGGGGGGGACCAAGAGAAAACAGCCUACAACCACAAAUUCCCUGCUGCACACCAAAGUAACUAGAUACAAGUUAGCUCUUUGGAUGUUCAAUGAAAAAGUAGGUAGGAGGCAGCAAGAGUUUAUUUUUACUUAAGUAGAGUACUCAGAAAACCAAUUAUUACAAUAUACAGAGUUCAAGUUCAUCCUUACAUCUAUAGUGAGUAAGUACCUUUGGGAAGAUCUCGUCAUUUAAUAUCAACAGAUAAGAUUACUUAAAGUUUAUACAAUGUUUUUGGAACUAAUCUUACAUUAUACUGAGAACAUGCACAUCCACACACUCAUGUGUGGCAAUAAACUUUGUAUGUUUAGUAAAUAGAAGACUGAAAGAACAAAUCCUUGGAUGGUCUCUGGCCCAUGAGUACCUGGGACCAUCCAGGGAGCACAGGAAAUAGGAAGUACAUGGCUUUAGCAUUUCUGCCUAAGGAGUUGAUAUUUUUUUCUGGGUUAAACUGCAGGGAGCCUUCUAUCCUUACAGUGCAUGGAAUUUUUUCCAAUUGGCAAGUAUAUAGCCUGGUGGCUGCUGAGCACAGUUAUCAUAACCUACAAUUCACUAUUCUUUUGGAUAAGUCAGAUACAUCUUGGAAGAAAGAAAAAAAUAAAAGACCCAGGUUAUGACCCUUGUUCUCCUCCCCCAUGUCCAUAUCAACUUGGUCAAGCCUUUAGUUUUCUCAUCUGUAUUAUGGGAUAAUCAUACCAGUCCUGCUCAAAGUUUUAUGCAAUUCAAAUUAGAUGCUGGGUCGGAAUGAUGGAAAUCUACUUUAUAAAUUGUACAAUGUUGCAUAAAUAUGUGGAAAGUGUGUUUUAUAUGUGGUAAAAUUUACACUCUUUUAGUUUACAUGCUAUUUGGUGAAUGCCACACACACACCAGCCUGUUGGAUCUAUGUUUAUGCUUCACACUAUUGCUUCAGCUGCUAAGGAAAAGGGCUAAUGUCAGAAGAUGCUCAGCUCACAGCUUGACUUGUAUAAUGUAAGGGCUCUUUAUACAUCUACCUUCAACCUAGAGUUCACAGCAAGACACGUGCUGUCAGGUCAGGGAACUCACUUUAGCAACCCAGUCCUAAUUCCAGGUCAGCUGGAGCUGAGCCAUGGAUUACACUAUUAGUCCAGGAUGACAGUUACUUUCCUUCUAUGAUUAAACAUCUUUGGAAAGGAUUUCUGUGUUACAUAACCCAAGGUUCAAACUCUUUUGUUCUUGAGUUCUUUGACAAUGAAUAGAAGCUUAAGUUCACUGCCUGCUGUCCAAUACUUUUUAAGAGUCCUGUUGUAAGAAAUAAUAUUCAUGGAUGAUUGCCUAAAAGAUACGAAGAACUUCUAUCCCUUUAUAUACCCAAAAUCGUAUCCGCACAUCAAGCCAAACGAUCAAAAAAGCAGCAGGCUUAGGCUGAACCGCUCUGGCCCUGUGUAGAGCUGCUUUUACUGAAUUACACUUUGGCAGUAUGCCAUUGGCUUGCAGUGAGGGACAUUAUAAGAAACAGUUCUAUAAAAACUGCUAGUGUAAGAAUGUUGUUGAAGAUAUUUCCACUGUAUCUCCACAUUGAGCAUUUGAUGAGAAUCAGUGGAGAAACGUCCCUUGGGUCUUAGUUCCAGCACAAACCUGUUUCUCUGGCUUUCUUGAUAUGGGCACAGGAAAGUGCCUAUUUCCCUUUUUGCUGUGGUUUUAGGAAGCACAGAGUCAAAUUUUUGUGCUACCUCUAACAACUAACUGUACAUAAACUGUAUAUGAACAACUAACUUUCAUGGUCUUUUCCAUCCUCAUCCCUCAUACUUUCUACUGUUUAAUUUCUUCUUAAUGUGUUUAUUAUGUGUAUUUCUGUAAACUCUCCUAAAUUUUUGGAGAACAAAUGUGCAUUUAACUUGUGGGCCCUGAAAAGGCUCUGCCAGAUCACAUCUGCCUUUCCAUGCCUUGUCUUUUGCCAUUUUCUACCAUGACUCUGUGACCCAGUCACACUGACCUGCAUCAUGCCUUGACUAUGCUGUGCCCUUCUGUGUUGUUCUCCAUCUGUCUAUGCAGAUUCCUCUGCCUGGAAGACCCUUUGCCUGUUUCUUAGUCAAGUGAAAUCCUGGCAGAACUCAUAGUUUCUGUCUUUGUUCCUGUAUGGCUUUUCAUCCAUGCCACCAGGAUAGCAUUUAUAUUAUCUCCAGUACACUAGGUAUACACCUGGGUCCUUUGCUAGAUCAUAAACUCCUUGAAGGCAAUUUGCAUUUAUCUUUGUAUCUCCAGCGCCUCACCAC